UCAUGAGAGAGCUUGUAGCAUUGAGCUUUUAACUCAAAGAAAAUAGUUUUGCCUAUUUCCCAUGAU
rnacentral:tRNA from 1 species